rnacentral:lncRNA from 12 species
ACUGACGCUCGGGGAGCAGACUGGCUACCGACCCCACCGUCUGCCGCUGCCCGGCUGACCCUCUGCAGCAGGUCCCGCCGCCGGGCAGCCCACCCUGAGGGCGACAGUGGGCACUAAGCAGCCGGAGGUCCCUAACCCGCCGCCCCUGCACCCCAGCCCUGUGGCCUGGUCACGACUUCCAGGAAGGCCCUGACUUGCCCCGACGUCCCUCCUGUGCAGAGCAGGUUUGUCCCAUGCCAUGGCUGCAAUGGCGGGGACAGGGACAGCAGACAGAGGGCCUGGGGAGCACAGCGGGUGCCACCUGCACGCUGGGGUGAUCUGGACCCACCUGCCCCUCGCCAGCUGUGACCCGGGCACGCAGCUGGGCACCUGCAGCCUCCCGGGUCUCCACGGCAGGGCCCGCACUCCCGAUCCCAGGACGCCUGGGCUGCUGCGAGGCCAGGGCACCUGCACCCAGGAGGCCUCCAGGAAGGAGCCACCGCUUUGCUUCAACGCCCGCAGCAAACAAACAAAAAACCCAACCCGAGGCUGGCAGCCCAUUCAUUCCUUCACGAGGAGGCUUCAGCCGGGAUCUGUUUGUUUUCCAUCAAUGGAAACCAAAACCGACCCUUGCAAGAUGGAGAUAUUUCACCAAAGAGGCCUCAGGACGUCUUCUAUCCCCUCUGAUGCUAUUUCCACGGAAAGGCCAAGAUUUCCUUCUGGUGCCUGAGACGGGAGGAUGAGCUCGGGGAGGACUUCACGGGCCUCCGCUGGGCUCUGGGAGCUGCAGGCCUGUGCUCCUUCCCAAGUCCCAGUACCUGAUUCCACGGCUCUCAACGCCGGCUGCACCUUAGAACCUUCUGGAAGAGACUCUAAAAUACAGACGCUCAGGCCGCGCCCCCGAGAGCCCGAUGGAAGUGGUCGGCGCGCUGGCGUCCGGGUAACAGAUGAUUGUUUUCCUUCGUGGGUGGAGACAGAAGGGGGUUAUAAUAACCAGAAGGUUCUGGGUCAAUCGGCUCCAACAAUCGACUGGCCAGGGGAGAGAAACUCCGUAAAAGAUUGAUCUGACCCAUGGGUGAUCCCUGUUUCCUGCAAAUAGACUAUUUUCAGGCCCGGCCUGAGAGAGGGCCCGAGCUGGCGGUGGCGGGAGGCCAGUCGGCCAAGGACGCAGCCCGGAGCGUGGGAAUCCCGAAGGGCCUAGGCUCUUCCACGUGCCAUCAGUCUCUCCAUUUGCCACCGAGGUCGGGAAGACACAGACUCCCCCAAGGGCUCCGUGUCAGCGUGACGCAGGGACAGGAGGACCCGGGGACAGUCCAAGCAGUCUCAUAAGUCAGAAAAGACCGACUUCUGGGACCCCUGGGGGGCUCAGCGGUUUGGCGCCUGCCUUCGGCCCAGGGCGUGAUCCUGGAGACCCAGGAUCGAGUCCCACGUCGGGCUCCCUGCGUGGAGCCUGCUUCUCCCUCUGCCUGGGUCUCUGCCUCUCUCUCUCUGCAUCUCUCAUGAAUAAAUAAAAUCUUCAAAAAAAAAAAAAAAAAAAA